rnacentral:misc_RNA from 1 species
UUUCCGUAGGUGAACCUGCGGAAGGAUCAUUACUGAGUGAGGGCCCCUCGGGGUCCAACCUCCCACCCGUGUUUAACGAACCUUGUUGCUUCGGCGGGCCCGCCUCACGGCCGCCGGGGGGCAUCCGCCCCCGGGCCCGCGCCCGCCGAAGCCUCCUGUGAACGCUGUCUGAAGUAUGCAGUCUGAGACAAUUAUUAAAUUAAUUAAAACUUUCAACAACGGAUCUCUUGGUUCCG